UUGCACAUUUCAUUGUCCUGUUCUUUGCAUGUAAGAACUUUGAUAUUUCUGAUGUGCUAGAGAAAUAGUGGAGGUAAAUUAACAGUGUGGCUGUGUUGUGCCAAUACUGUCAGUCCCCUUCAGACAGAC